GCCAAAAUCUAGAACAAGCACACCCGGGUCCAAGUGCUAAACAUCCAAAAUCGCUUAUGCAGAAAGCCAACAACACGAAUGAAAACAUUGAAACUGCUUAUCCAAAAGAAAACUCAAAAUCGCGUUUCCAUCGGCAUCAUCAAUGCUCGUGUUCUUCUCCAUCCUUUGAUUCGCCGAAGAGUUUUGAAACCUCGCAUGUUAGGUUCUCAACAUCGCAUUUCGGCAUCGCGUUUGGGUGUUCAAGUAUUGAAAGCGUGGUGUUUGUGGACGACGUCAUGUUUCGAUUAGGAUUCAGUCUCGAUUCUUCAUCUCCUUCGCAUCCCAAAGUGUAAUCUCUUCAAAACGCUGGGAAAGAGGGAACAGUAACGGCAUUGUGAGCUUCAACUGAAACUUUGGAAGCAAAGUAUGACAGUAAUGCCUGCCUUCGUCUUCAGCUGCAUCCGUCCGCGAAGAGGCGAUCGAUGCUGCCAAGUAUUCAUCCGUAAUUCAAGGCUGGUGAAUCAGUAACUCGAAGUGUACUUGAUCCACUAUUUCCUAAUUGCGUUCAACCUCGAAGGAUUCCAUUGAAAUUGGAACGGAAUUGCGACAAGAAUAAGAAUAAACUACGGAAUAUGGCAAGGAUAACCUACCUGAUUGAAGCGACGCGGAGGUUCCGGUGUCGUUGAUGUUGUUCGCAGUCGGAAGUUUGUUGGCUCGCGCUCGUUGCUGCGCUUUCUGGGUUGCGUUUUGGUUUCCGCUUGCAGCAUUGAGAUGCAGGUGGCGUGAUGGUUUGAGCUCCAUCAGUUGAAGCUUCAACGUGAAGCUUCAAUGGUGUUUCACUAUCAGAACUUUGGUGAGGGAAAUGAAGCAGACGAAACAAAAAGUGAAACAGAAGGUUGAAGAAUGGAGUAGAAAAAUUGCAGAAAUGAAAAACCCUUCACAAUGAGGCUUGGAGGGCUUAUAUAGAGCGCUUAGCCUAACCGAUUCGGGCAGGUUGUUGAUCAAGAUUUCUACGAUAGAGCCGGUGUACUAAAUGUUGUGAAGUUGAACCAAGAGCCAUCGUCUUAUUGCUGCGAUAUUAUGUGUGGUGUGAAUAGAGCUGUCAAUUUAGGUGUCAAUUUAGGAGGUCGGUGCCUAACUUUUAAGGCCCCAAAAUAUAGGGGGUUCAAAAUUCUAAAAAUAAAUAAGCCCCAAAAUAUAUAGGCUCCCUAAACUAAAGGCUCAUAAAAUUCAAGUAAAGCCUGAAGACCCCAUCAUUUUUUCAAGUCGAUUUUUUAAAGAAAAA